UACAGAGGGUGCGAGCGUUGUUCGGAAUUAUUGGGCGUAAAGGGCGCGUAGGCGGUGCGGUAAGUCACCUGUGAAAUCUCCUGGCUCAACUGGGAGCUUGCAGGCGAAACUGCCGUGCUGGAGUGUGGGAGAGGUGCGGUGGAAUUCCUGGUGUAGCGGUGAAAUGCGUAGAUAUCAGGAGGAACACCUGUGGCGAAAGCGGCGCACUGGACCACAACUGACGCUGAGGCGCGAAAGCUAGGGGAGCAAACAGG
rnacentral:rRNA from 1 species